AAUCCCGGUCAGAGCAAAUGGUAAUGCUUGCCUUAGGUAAAACACACAUAUACCCUGGUCCCUUAACCUGGAUAAAAAUGGGUGGCCGUGGAAACUGUACCAAAGAAAUGUGGUGUGUGGGUACCUUGCAGUGGUAACCUCUGACUGGGAAAAGCUGAAAGGCACUUCUUCCAUUUGUUGCAAACACACACACACAUUCGUAUGGAUGCCAUUAAAAAAAAUACUGUUUCCUAUUUCCCACGCUGUUAUGGCGGACGACAGCUUCCCCCAUGCGCUCCUCGUGCUCAUAAUUGGAGGUCAUACACAGCUGUGUGAGAAGCACCAAAAUAUGGCGCUAUCAUAUUCAGCCAAUGAGGUGGCAACUUGUAACAGGUUGCAUCUGACGUCACUGACGCGGCGAGAGCGCGCAUUCAAUAGGGGCACGAGAAAAGAUAGAGCGGGCGGCGAGGUCUUUUCGCUAUGUCUCUAGUGUAACCGGCUAACAGUAAAAUGGGGGAACCGGAGUCCAGCAACGGGAUGGGCGCACAGCGACAGACUGCAGUGAAGAACUCAUCGAUGUGGAUUAACACUAUGAUAAAACAUUUGUUCUUCCGCACGUUUGAGACCAGCCAGUGAGUGAGCAGUCCAGGAGGGAGGCGUUGUUCGCUGUGAUUCAGACUCAAGCAGAGCUGGCUCCAACUUACCGACGAGGAAGGGGCUUCAACAAGGAUGGAUGAAUUUUCCAUUACAGGCCACUACGGUCAGACCAACCCGGUCCGAGUAGGGUGGGUUCGUUCGGCUUAAAAAAAAUAACGAAAAAAAAAAAAGCAGUCGGUUCCUAUCUGGCGGCUCGUCCUUCGUCCUGCCGGCCGUGGAGUUGAGCCAUGUCUACGUUCUGCCUCGACCUGAGCACGUCUGGUGUGGCUUCAGCACCGUUGGAGCUGGACAGCGACUACAUGGAGCCGUGCCGCAAACCCGCAGCUCACGAGCCCGGAGGCUGCCCGGCUAACCCGCUGCGCCACGCCGGCUCCGGCUCCGGAGGCCUCGGCGUGGCGUUGGAGGAGGAACUGGCCAUGCUCAGCGACGAGCAGGAUAAAGCGGAAGAGCUGUCGGUGGACCGUAAUGCCGACUUGAUGUCUCUCAUCCGUCAGAAGGAAAAGGAUUUGGUGUUAGCUGCCAAACUGGGCAAAGCUUUACUAGAACGAAACCAAGAUUUGACGAAGCAAUAUGAGAAAAUGCACAAAGACCUCAACGACAAAUUAGAGCACUUGGAGCAAGAGAAGCAUGACUUGCGUUGGCGUCUGGAAAAUCGAGAGGGGGAGUGGGAGGGCCGCGUGGCCGAGCUGGAGACUGACAUCCAGCAGCUACAGGGAGAACUGGAGCAACACCAGGUCCAGCUGAGAGAGGCUGACAGGGACAAAACUAAGGCCAUCAGUGAGCUAUCCGAACAAAACCACCGACUUCUCGAACAGCUUCGAAGGGCUGCAGAGGUGGAGAGGCAGCUAUCCACUCAGGUCCAUUCAUUACGGGACGACUUCAGGGAGAAGAGUACAUCUACGAGCCAGCACAUGACACGACUAGAAACACUACAAGCUGAACAAGGACUCGAAAUUAAGAUGCUGUCGGAGAGGAAGAUGGAGCUGGAGCGGCGGGUGCAUGCCAUGCUGGAGGAGAACGAAGUGCUCAAGAAUACUGUGGAAGACCUCAGAGACAGGACGCUGGUGCUGGAGACGCAGUGCCACGAGAAGGACCUGCAGUUGCGGCAGAAUCAGGUGGAGCUUCAGGAAGUUCAGAUGUCCUACAGGCACCUAACAGCUCGACUCGAGGAGCUGACGGAGGAGACCAGCCUGCAGAGCCUCACCCCCCACCAGUCCAGCCUGAUGUGUGAGAUCGAGCAAAGCAUGGAGCAAGAGGAGCAGGAGCAGGAGAGAGAGCAGCUGCGUCUUCAGCUGUGGGAAGCCUAUUGUGACGUGCGCUCGCUGUGCUCCCAUCUCCGAGGGAAUGAUGUCACAGACUCUGCGCUGUCCACGGACUCUUCCAUGGACGAGUCCUCGGAGACGUCGUCCGCCAAGGAUGUGCCCACUGGGAGCCUUCAUGCUAGCCUGCUAGAACUCCGCAGACUAACACAGAACCUGCUUGAUGGCAACGAGUCAACGGGUUCUCGACGCAGUGACGAGGAAGCUCUGGAGGAACAAGUAAAGAAGAUGGGAGAAGAGCUGAGAGAAGUCAAAGAGCUGUACGCAGCUGAGCAGGACAAGACGCACAACAGUAAAGAGGAGUUGCUACGGAUGCACAAUCAGAUGGCGCUGCUCUCAGUAGAAAUGUGUUCCCUCCAAGAGGAGUCUGAGCGGAUGAGGUCCAUGGCAGAGGUCCGAGAACCCAGCGAGCAGCUUCAAAGUGCCAUUAAAGACAGAGAUGAUGCCAUAGCCAAGAAGAAGGCAGUGGAGAUGGAGCUGGCCAAGUGUAAAAUAGACAUCAUGUCUCUAAACAGUCAGCUUCUGGAUGCCAUCCAGCAGAAGCUCAAUCUGUCACAGCAGCUGGAGGCUUGGCAGUUUGCAUCCUCAGGGCUCUUUACAGUUUGGCUCUUGUGGUUUCUGAUCUAGUGGCCUUUCUCAGCCUCCGUACCACCCUCUCUCACCCUGUGGUACAACCCCUCCCCCUACACCCCUCCUGCCUUAGAGGACGACAUGCACAGAGUGAUUGACCAGCAGUUAAUGGACAAGCACCAGGACGAGUGGCGCUCCACCCCAUCCUGCGCAUCCAGG